CAUGGACACGCCCACUCUUUGUCUGGACCAUGUGGAGCUGCAGGGAAAUAUGUCUCCUGAUUUUGACCUGUACUUCAAUUCCACUGGGGCAACAAAAGAAGAACCACCUCCAGAUCUUGAGCUAGUCUUCAUCAGGACUAUCUGAGCUGGAGGAUUUGACCCGUUGUGUACGUUUUGGGUUGUUUGUGAAGGAAAACCAGAGAACCCAGAUAAAACCCAUCCAGACACAGGGAGAACAUGCAAACUGCACACAGAAAGACCCCACCUGCUCCUGAAGUCAAACCUGGGACCUUCUUGCUGUGAGGCUGGACACAAACCAACAAAUCCUCGCUGCCUGGGAGAAGUGUCUUGCCAAAGGAUGCAACAACACUGGGCAAAGCUGGACUGGAACCAUCAACAACAUGAGCAGCUGAUUUGAGAACUGUGUCCAUGUGAAGUGCGUGUGUUCAGACUGAGGCGUGUCUCUGGGUCCUGCAGCAGAAUCUGACCGCACUGCACCAGUCUGACCACACGGAGCAGCACACAGGACGUCCACACGUUACAGAGGACAGGGGAC